GUGGCUUGGUGGUUAAAGCGUCCGUUUUGGAUGCGGCAGGUCGUGGGUUCGAAACCCCGGUUAUACCA